rnacentral:tRNA from 8 species
GGUCGCUUAGCUCAGUUGGUUAGAGCGUGGUGCUAAUAACGCCAAGGUCGCGAGUUCGACCCUCGUAGUGAUCA